rfam:Streptomyces ambofaciens ATCC 23877, complete genome.
CUUGAGCGACCCCAGCCACAAAGGCCGGUCGGCGGGCCGGUCCUGACCGUAGGCGUUCAGCAGCGCCUGCGCCUC